rnacentral:rRNA from 1 species
GAUGAACGCUGGCGGCGUGCCUAAUACAUGCAAGUCGAGCGAACGGACGAGAAGCUUGCUUCUCUGAUGUUAGCGGCGGACGGGUGAGUAACACGUGGAUAACCUACCUAUAAGACUGGGAUAACUUCGGGAAACCGGAGCUAAUACCGGAUGAUAUUUUGAACCGCAGGGUUCAAAAGUGAAAGACGGUCUUGCUGGCACUUAUAGAUGGAUCCGCGCUGCAUUAGCUAGUUGGUAAGGUAACGGCUUACCAAGGCAACGAUGCAUAGCCGACCUGAGAGGGUGAUCGGCCACACUGGAACUGAGACACGGUCCAGACUCCUACGGUAGGCAGCAGUAGGGAAUCUUCCGCAAUGGGCGAAAGCCUGACGGAGCAACGCCGCGUGAGUGAUGACGGUCUUCGGAUCGUAAAACUCUGUUAUUAGGGAAGAACAUAUGUGUAAGUAACUGUGCACAUCUUGACGGUACCUAAUCAGAAAGCCACGGCUAACUACGUG